GACAGAGGCCCCGAGCGUUAGGCGGAAUCACUGGGCUUAAAGCGUGUGUAGGCGGAUCGUUAAGUGUCUUGUGAAAUCCCACGGCUCACCCGUGGAACUGCUGGGCAUACUGGCGAUCUUGGGCCAUUCAGGGGCGACUGGAACAAGCGGUGGAGCGGUGAAAUGCGUAGAUAUCGCUUGGAACGCCAAAGGUGAAAACAGGUCGCUGGGGAUGCGCCGACGCUGAGACACGAAAGCCAGGGGAGCAAACGGG
rnacentral:rRNA from 1 species